rnacentral:rRNA from 1 species
ACCCGCUGAACUUAAGCAUAUCAUUAAGCGGAGGAAAAGAAACUAACAAGGAUUCCCCUAGUAACGGCGAGUGAAGCGGGAACAGCUCAAAUUUAAAAUCUCAUCGGCUAUGCCCAUGCGAGUUGUAGUUUCAAGAAGCGUUUUCGGGGGCAGCCCGGGCAUAAGUUCUUUGGAACGAGACAUCAUAGAGGGUGAGAAUCCCGUGUGUGGCUCGGUGCCUGCUUCCAUGUGAUACGCUUUCUACGAGUCGGUUUGUUUGGGAAUGCAGACCAAAGUGGGUGGUAAAUACCAUCUAAAGCUAAAUAUUGGCGAGAGACCGAUAGCGAACAAGUACCGUGAGGGAAAGAUGAAAAGAACUUUGAAAAGAGAGUUAAACAGUACGUGAAAUUGUCAAAAGGGAACCGCUUGAAACCAGUAUUGGCGGGCGGGAAAUCAGCGGUCCCCUGGGCCGUGCACUUUCCCGUCUCCUUGCCGGGUCAGCAUCAGUUUGGGGCGGGGUAGAAAGCGGCGGGAAUGUAGCCAUCACCUCGGUGUUGGUGUUAUAGCCCGUCGUUAUGCCCCGUGCCGGACUGAGGACUGCAGCGCGCAUGGGCAACGGCUCGUCGGUGUGGGGGCGGUGGGGAUAGACAGCCUGGCUGACUACCCCCCGCCCCUCACCGUCCGGGCCGCUAGCCACACCAACGCUUAGGAUGCUGACGAAAUGGUUUUAAACGACCCGUCUUGAAACACGG